rnacentral:misc_RNA from 1 species
UUUCCGUAGGUGAACCUGCGGAAGGAUCAUUACAGAGUUCAUGCCCGAAAGGGUAGACCUCCCACCCUUGUGUAUUAUUACUUUAUUGCUUUGGCGAGCGCAACUCGCCAGAGAAUACCAAAACUCUUUUUAUUAAUGUCGUCUGAGUACUAUAUAAUAGUUAAAACUUUCAACAACGGAUCUCUUGGUUCUG